rnacentral:misc_RNA from 1 species
GAGAUGCGAUAAGUAGUGUGAAUUGCAGAAUUCAGUGAAUCAUCGAAUCUUUGAACGCACAUUGCGCCCCUCGGCAUUCCGUGGGGCAUGCCUGUUCGAGCGUCAUCUACACCCUCAAGCUCUGCUUGGUGUUGGGCGUCUGUCCCGCCUCCGCGCGCGGACUCGCCCCAAAUGCAUUGGCAGCGGUUCCUUGCCCCCCUCUUUGCGCAGCACAUUGCCAUUCGAGGCGGCGGCGGCCCGCGUCCAACAAGCUCAACCCCCCCGUCUUUGACCUCGGAUCAGGUAGGGAUACCCGCUGAACUUAAGC